rnacentral:rRNA from 1 species
AUUGAACGCUGGCGGCAGGCUUAACACAUGCAAGUCGAGCGAGCGGCGGACGGGUGAGGAAUGUCUGUGAAACUGUCUGAUGGAGGGGGAUAACUACUGUAAACGGUAGCUAAUACCCCAUACCAUCAGAUGUGCCCAGAUGGGAUUAGCUAGUAGGGGGGGUAAUGGCUCACCUAGGCAACGCUCCCUAGCUGGUGUGAGAGGAUGACCCGCCACACUGGAACUGAGACACGGUCCAGACUCCUACGGGAGGCAGCAGUGGGGAAUAUUGCACAAUGGGCGCAAUCCUGAUGCAGCCAUGCCGCGUGUAUGAAGAAGGCCUUCGGGUUGUAAAGUACGUUCAGCGAGGAGGCGUUACUCGCAGAAGAAGCACCGGCUAACUCCGUGCCAGCAGCCGCGGUAAUAC